UGCACAUGGCAAUGAGCGAUGCCCGGUACAAGCUGCUUGGUGGUGGACAGUACCCAUCCGAGUGUGAUGAGGAUGCCCCAGUCCCUCGUGCCCUUCCAGUUCCAUUCUGUCGUUGUGAACCGGGCAAUCAGCUGGUAGAGGUGAAGCAAUCGAGGCAUCCCAAGACGGCCGGUAGAGCAUUCUACAUAUGCAAGUGGAAUGAUUCAUUGAAUCCUUGCCACUGCCUUUUCUUUCAGUGGAUCGAUGGUCCGGAUAAGUUCGAUCCUAGAAUUCGGUUGUUCCCUUAUUAUCGAUCAGAGUCGUGGGCGUACAAUGAGUUUAGACGAUGGGUCCCUCCCCCACCAAAUCCACAACCUAUGACAGAGGAAGAGAAGUAAGAAGCUGCUAUAUAUCGUGUGAACAAUCCUCCCAAAUGUCAUUGCGGUGUUCGUGCCAAACUUCAAAGGCCUAAUAUUGGUGUCCCUCCAAAGUUCACUCCCUUUUUUAGAUGCUCGCUAAAGACUAGAGAUGGAUGGCCGGCAUGUGACUUCAAUGAGUAUAUUUAUGGUCCUAGAUCUCAUUGGCCGAUAGAAGAGGAAGUGCGAGAAUUUGAGAGUGGGAAGAAGUCAUGGCCAUGUACAACUACUCCUAGUCUUCGAUGCAAGUGUGGUAUUCUGCCCACAAAAGGCGUAGUUCCUUCUGAGCUUGGCUACGGAUAUUACUGUGGCAAUAGCUACGGAGAGUAUUGGGAGGGAAGGACAUGUGAUUGGGAGUGGUUUGAAGGCCGGUAUGAGCUAAUGUUGCAAUUGGGCAGAACAAACGAG